CCUCCUCCUCCCAGUCAAACAUUUCUGCCACCUGAUCACAGCAGCCAAACUUGGAAGACUCCUUGCAGAAGAUCAGUGGCUGCCUGGGCUCAAAUGGAGGCUUGUAAUCCAAGCACUGAGGGUGGCAGCUCCCCCGCCAGGCCUGGAGGAGCAGCAGCAGGACGGGGAGAAGCAGCUGAUCGCCCUGAGUGAAGAGAACCAUGGAGUAAUUUGCAGCUUCGGAUCCAAACACCUGCUGCAGGAGUUCGACGGUGUUCUGCUCCUCCUCUGUGAACCUCCCCAGCUUCACCACGAUCAGGAACACGUGAGGGCCGGGAGCGGAGAGGGAGACGCACUCCUUCACUUUUUGGAUGACCUCCGCCUCUUUGUAUUUGGUGUCGUAAAUUCCUGGUGUGU